rnacentral:misc_RNA from 1 species
UUUUAUUUCAUUUUUUGCUUCUUUCAAUUGCUCCUUCACUUUCACCAACUCAGAUUCAAGAUGGGAAUUUUGGAGAAGAACAGAAUCAUGAGCUUUUUUAAGAGUGGAAUAUUCCUCUUCCAGCUUCUUAUUCUUCCACCGUGCACGGCGGUUCUGAAACCAGACGGCGACUUGCCGUGGAUCAAGUCCCAAUUCAGAAGCCAACCGAUCUUUCCUCUCCGAUUCCAAUUUGUGUUCGUUGCCAAAAUUUAUCUCCAAAAGCUUCACUUGCUCUGAACUCAGCUUCCUCUUCUUCAACCCCGCCGCCCCGGCUCCGCCCCCCUCCUUCGCUUUGCUCCUCCUCCUCCGCCGCUUCGGCGGCUUAUUCCCCUCCGCCGUACCUUGUUGGGG